ACCGCAAGGUUGAAACUCAAAGGAAUUGACGGGGGCCCGCACAAGCGGUGGAGCAUGUGGUUUAAUUCGAAGCAACGCGAAGAACCUUACCAGGUCUUGACAUCCUUUGACCACUCUGGAGACAGAGCUUUCCCUUCGGGGACAAAGUGACAGGUGGUGCAUGGUUGUCGUCAGCUCGUGUCGUGAGAUGUUGGGUUAAGUCCCGCAACGAGCGCAACCCUUGCUUUUAGUUGCCAGCAUUUAGUUGGGCACUCUAAAGUGACUGCCGGUGCAAGCCGGAGGAAGGUGGGGAUGACGUCAAAUCAUCAUGCCCCUUAUGACCUGGGCUACACACGUGCUACAAUGGAUAGUACAAAGGGUCGCGAAGCCGCGAGGUGGAGCUAAUCCCAUAAAACUAUUCUCAGUUCGGAUUGUAGGCUGCAACUCGCCUACAUGAAGCCGGAAUCGCUAGUAAUCGUGGAUCAGCAUGCCACGGUGAAUACGUUCCCGGGCCUUGUACACACCGCCCGUCACACCACGAGAGUUUGUAACACCCGAAGUCGGUAGGGUAACCUUUAUGGAGCCAGCCGCCGAAGGUGGGACAGAUAAUUGGGGUGAAGUCGUAACAAGGUAGCCGUAUCGGAAGGUGCGGCUGGAUCACCUCCUUUCUAAGGAA
rnacentral:rRNA from 1 species